AUCAGCUUCUUCUCCAUCUUCUUUUCUUCCGUCUUGGUGGUUCUCAAGCCAUGGCUGCUACUUUCUUUAUUCUUUCUUUCUUCAUUUUUGCUGGUUUUCAAGCCAUGGCUGCUGCUAGCAUGCUUUUUUCUUUUCAAUUUUUCCUCCCGUUAUGCUGCUGAAAUUUUCAGUGAUCUAGGGUUUCACCUAUGUUGUAUCUGCUGCUUUUUCUUUGCUCUUCUUUUCUUCAUUUUUGCUGGUUUUAAAGCCAUAGCUGCUGCUAGCAUGCUCUUUUCUUUUCAAUUUUCCCUCUGUUAUGCUGCUGAAAUUUUCGGUGAUUUAGAUUUCACUCCUGCUGCAUCUGCUGUGUUUUUUUUUUUUUUUGAGUUGAUUUUUUUUUUAUUUGACAACACCAGCAGCUGCUUUGUGCUUUUUGAUGACACAAGUUGCCAGUUGAUGACAGCAGUUGCUUGUCUGCUUUCUUUUUGCAGUUAUUUUUCAAUUCUCUGUUCAACAUUUGGCUAUUUGUUGAUUGCCUCUCACAUGUAACCCACUAACCCUUAAUUUCUU
rnacentral:misc_RNA from 1 species